UGGCGUUGGUGAAAUCAGACUUUCAUGGUAACAGUGCUUCUCCCGUUUAUUCCCCGUGACCACCUAGCUUGCGCAGGCCCAUAAUGAGGAUCUUACAGCCAGGGAGACCUGCAAGGCUGGCUUCUCCGAGGAGGACUACACAGCAUUAAUCUCCCCCAAUAUUCUGCAGGGAGAGAAGCUCCUCAAAGGUGCACACGCCCAGGAAGGAGCAGAGCAACGUUUUUCUGUCUUAGAAGUAAUUUUACACAUCUGGGGGCCAAGCUAAAGCUGUGAUACUCUCAAGCCGGGGCUCGCCAACAUUUCUGUAUGUGUGGAAAACGCAGCCGCUCCCAGAACACGUCGAGGGUGGCUGUGUGGAAAACAAGUGAGAAGCUGGUGUUUCUGUUUCUCUGGUAAGAAUCAAGUUAAAUAGAUAAUGACUGCUUCUAAUUGAGUUAAUCCAAUGGAGAGAGCUGAGCCUUAAUUUGACUGGCAGAGCCUCGCGAGUGCCCGCCUCGCUGUGAGGACGCCUGAGCGAUACGGCCACUCUGUGCCCCGUCUUGCCGGAGUCAGAACACACAGAUUCCAGCAGGAGCGAUUUGUUCUGCAGUAAUUAACUUGUUUAUGAUAAAUGGAUGG